rnacentral:rRNA from 1 species
UACAGAGGUCUCAAGCGUUGUUCGGAUUCAUUGGGCGUAAAGGGUGCGUAAGCGGCGCGGUAAGUCGGGUGUGAAAUCUCGGAGCUUAACUCCGAAACUGCAUUCGAUACUGCCGUGCUUGAGGACUGGAGAGGAGACUGGAAUUUACGGUGUAGCGGUGAAAUGCGUAGAUAUCUGGAGGAACACCGGUGGCGAAGGCGGCAUCCUGGACCGGUAUUGACGCUGACGGCGACGAAAGGCU